rnacentral:rRNA from 1 species
UACGUAGGGUGCGAGCGUUAAUCGGAAUUACUGGGCGUAAAGCGUGCGCAGGCGGUGCUGUAAGACCGAUGUGAAAUCCCCGGGCUUAACCUGGGAACUGCAUUGGUGACUGCAGCGCUGGAGUAUGGCAGAGGGGGGUGGAAUUCCACGUGUAGCAGUGAAAUGCGUAGAUAUGCGGAGGAACACCGAUGGCGAAGGCAAUCCCCUGGACCUGUACUGACGCUCAUGCACGAAAGCGUGGGGAGCAAACAGG